rnacentral:rRNA from 1 species
GACGAACGCUGGCGGCGUGCUUAACACAUGCAAGUCGAACGGUAGGGCCCUUCGGGGUACACGAGUGGCGAACGGGUGAGUAACACGUGGGUGAUCUGCCCUGCACUUCGGGAUAAGCCUGGGAAACUGGGUCUAAUACCGGAUAGGACCACUGCCUGCAUGGGUGGUGGUGGAAAGCUUUUGCGGUGUGGGAUGGGCCCGCGGCCUAUCAGCUUGUUGGUGGGGUGAUGGCGUACCAAGGCGACGACGGGUAGCCGGCCUGAGAGGGUGACCGGCCACACUGGGACUGAGAUACGGCCCAGACUCCUACGGGAGGCAGCAGUGGGGAAUAUUGCACAAUGGGCGCAAGCCUGAUGCAGCGACGCCGCGUGAGGGAUGACGGCCUUCGGGUUGUAAACCUCUUUCAGCACCGACGAAGCGCAAGUGACGGUAGGUGCAGAAGAAGGACCGGCCAACUACGUGCCAGCAGCCGCGGUAA